GACUCUCGGCAACGGAUAUCUCGGCUCUUGCAUCGAUGAAGAACGUAGCGAAAUGCGAUACUUGGUGUGAAUUGCAGAAUCCCGUGAACCAUCGAGUCUUUGAACGCAAGUUGCGCCCGAAGCCACUAGGCCGAGGGCACGCCUGCCUGGGUGUCA
rfam:Vigna angularis cultivar Jingnong 6 chromosome 9, whole genome shotgun sequence.